ACAGAGGCCGUAGACCUGAAGAACCAACAACCUUCCAUAGGCUUUGAGGUCCCACUCCGGCAGCAGGACGUGCUGGCUCCCAGGAAUCACUGUGACCACUAUUCUAAAUUCCUUAUGUGUUCAGAAUUUAUUCAGAGCUCAGGAAGGUGAUACUACUGUAACAGAUGCUCUUCAGGAAUUGACAAACAAUUGUGGAGGUUGGCAAUUCCAAAAUCUGAGGAGUAGGUAAACUGGAAGACUAGAGACCCUGGGAAGAGUUGAUGUUACAGCUUGAAUCUGAAGGCAGUCUGCUGGAAGAAUCCCCUCUUUCUUGUAGAAGCCCCUUGACUGGGCAAACUUCAAACAAGUGACUGAGCUCCCUUAGCUGCCACUGAUUGGACCAGGAUGGACAACAAAUGUAGGAGGAGUUCAUCUGGAUCUAGCCUGAGCCAGUCAGAUAUCCCCUUUGAAUCCAUGCCUAUAGAAAUACAAAAAAAUGGAAGCCAGAGGAUGAUGGAUCCUUGAAGUAAUAAGUCAGGUAGAUCUUGAAAAUUUUUGACUCAAUCCAUAUUGAUGAACACAAGAAUAAUUCUGGUCUACAAAGAGAGGCAAGAGAAAGACUUGGGGUGUAUUAAGAAAAACAGCUCUGUGGAAGUUUGAGUGACUCAUUGCAGAGAGGAAUUGAUGAAGUCAACAGCUGCUGGAAAAACUUCUUUUUCCUUAAUAGCUGUAUCAACAUGUGGUUGCUAUUAUUCAAAGUGGAUGAAAUAAUUCUGCAAGCCAGUGGGAACAGGAAGCUUCAUGAAGAGGAGAAAGGCUUAGGGCUCAGAAACCGCACAGAGCAGGAGGAUAGAUGAAUGUAAGGAACAGAGCUUUGAGGACAGACACCCCUGGAUUAGACAAUAGCUCCAAAACUUAUUAAUGAUGGUGAAUGGGUGACUUUCUAAAACCCUUUAAACCUUAUUUGUAAAAUGGGACCAUCAAUAUCUAUUUUGAAAUCUUGUAUAAAUUUGCAAUAAUGUCUGUAAAGUAUCUGACAGGAGCUCAGAAAUGACACAAUUCUUUAAAUCCACUCACACCCAACUUUUAAACAAAAAGUAGCAGUAUAUCCUACACACGAUUUUUAAAUUUUACUAUUUAAGUUAACAUCAUGCUAUGAACAUAUUUCCAUGUCAUUAAAUAUUCUAUUCCAUCCAAUAUUUAAAAGCUAAUAGAAGUCUGUUAAAUGCAUAUGCCAUAAUUUAUUUAACCAAUUCGGUUGUUUUAAUAUUUAUGUUGUUUCCAAUAUAUUAUGCUAUUGACAAUAAAAUGAUGAACAUUUAUGAUGAUGAA
ensembl:lncRNA COMETT cytosolic oncogenic antisense to MET transcript